CCUCCCUCCCUCCUUCUCUCCUUCUCACGCUCUCUCUCUGUGAGGCGGAGUUUAUCCCCUCUCCGCUCACCGUGUGGACUCUGCACUUGUCAGUCGCAGCUCGCGUGUGUGAGGGAGACGACACACGCAGGUCUACAGAGAGAUGGGGCACUUUGUAGCCCAAAUGCUCCCCUUCUCUGUUUUUCACAUCGGAUGCGAUCCGAACAGACUCUCAUAAGAAAGGCGGAAUAAAAGUAUUGGAGGAUACUGACUGGAGUGGAGUGAAGUUAGCUUGAUGUGCAAGAAAAUGCAGAGAAGGUCAGCCCUGAAGUUUCAUCUCACAAUGAAGACAUACUGGCACCAGACAGGUAGAGGAGCAGCGGUCAGCCUGCAGAUGGAAACAAGGGUGGGUGGUUGGAAGGCUGGAUAAAGGCUGGUAGAUGACUGAACUUAGAGACCCAGCGCAGCUCAUCAUCAUUGCCACGGGCUCUUGUCUUCCUCCUCUCCUCCUGUGGCCCUUAACUCCAUCCAGGGGUCCAGCAGAGCCAGUGAAGCCCAGGCGGGGAGCUAGUGAGUGGGCCGGGAAGGAUGGAGAAGGUCCCUGAAGGCUAGAAGCACCUCUGGAGCUACUGGGAAGCAAGAGAAAUCAAUAUAAAACACAGAGCCUGCACAGUUCUGAGUGGGGUUUCCUGUGUUUGUCUGUGGCCUAGGGGCCCGCAGACCUCCAAAGGACAGGCCCUGCGUGGCCCUCUCAGCUGCAGCCCUGGCUCCUCAGACUGGACCUCAGUCCCGAUCUCCGUUGGCUGCGUGUGGUUCUGCUGACGGCGAUCUCUCCCCAAAUAAUACCCAAUACACAGAAUGUUGCGAGACUGCCGAGAGGGAUAUUCCUUUCUCUUGAUUUUUCCUUCAUAAGAUUGACAUAUCCCCCACCUUCAGCCUCUGGCUGUUUAAAAACCAGUUUGGGAGUUCUGCUUUUGACUCUCCAUCCUCAACUCGCCUGUUGUUUAUUCCCCAACCAGUUUUUACAUUUGACAAAGAGACAGUGCGAUCUUUAUUUUCUCUUCCAGCCUCAGCUUGCUGUUACUAUGGUGAGCUGUAGACAUGUGUCUGUUACAAGCAGAAAAUCUGGCACAUCAAGUACGAUCGUCUUUUUUUCCUCCAUGAUGUCUAUUAUUCAAUUUCAGACUGUUUAAAAAAACGGACUCAACAGCAGAGAGGGCAGAAGAUCACAGAGCAGAGAGACCUUUCUACCUUGUAGUGGAGAUGGUAAAA